rnacentral:rRNA from 1 species
CCUACGGGAGGCAGCAGUGGGGAAUUUUGGACAAUGGACGAAAGUCUGAUCCAGCAAUGCCGCGUGCAGGACGAAGGCCUUCGGGUUGUAAACUGCUUUUGUACGGAACGAAACGGCCUGCUUUAAUACAGUGGGCUAAUGACGGUACCGUAAGAAUAAGCACCGGCUAACUACGUGCCAGCAGCCGCGGUAAUACGUAGGGUGCGAGCGUUAAUCGGAAUUACUGGGCGUAAAGCGUGCGCAGGCGGUUAUAUAAGUCAGAUGUGAAAUCCCCGGGCUCAACCUGGGACCUGCAUUUGAGACUGUAUAGCUAGAGUACGGUAGAGGGGGAUGGAAUUCCGCGUGUAGCAGUGAAAUGCGUAGAUAUGCGGAGGAACACCGAUGGCGAAGGCAAUCCCCUGGACCUGUACUGACGCUCAUGCACGAAAGCGUGGGGAGCAAACAGGAUUAGAUACCCUGGUAGUCCACGCCCUAAACGAUGUCAACUGGUUGUUGGGUCUUCACUGACUCAGUAACGAAGCUAACGCGUGAAGUUGACCGCCUGGGGAGGACGGCCGGCGAGUUGUUAAAGUUAAAGUUAAAGUUAGUACGGCGUUGAGACGNGCCGACGGACGACGACGAGGGGAGGAGG